CUGUUUAUUUUUGUUCCAAAUGGGCAGGGCCCUCUUGCCUGUUCUGACUAAUCCACUUGUCAGGGCUGGAAUCUCCUAACAGUUCCUUCCUCCAGUGCCAGGAAUCAAACCUAGGACCUCAACGCCACUUAACAUGCCGUACUCUCCCACCAUUGAACAAUAUCCAGAGACUGCUGACACAUCUUUCUUUGUGCUCACACAAGUUCAUAUGCAGAUGCUGGGACCAGAGAAGUGGCUGCCAGGUCCAGUGGCUCGGCACUGGACCUGGCAGCUCUUCCAGAGGACCUGUGUUUGAUUCCCAGAACUCCUAUGGUAGCUCAAAACCGUGUCUCCAAUCAUAGGGAGUGCAGCGCCCUCGUCUGGCCUCCAUGAGCACUGCAUGCAUAAGGUGCACAGACAUAAAUGCCAGCAAAAAUAAAAAUCCGUACACAGA
rnacentral:lncRNA from 1 species